rnacentral:rRNA from 1 species
CAUCAUGCCCCUUAUGACCUGGGCUACACACGUGCUACAAUGAUUGGUACAACGAGUUGCGAGUCGGUGACGGCGAGCUAAUCUCUUAAAGCCAACCUCAGUUCGGAUUGUAGGCUGCAACUCGCCUACAUGAAGUCGGAAUCGCUAGUAAUCGCGGAUCGGCACGCCGCGGUGAAUACGUUCCCGGGCCUU